rnacentral:rRNA from 1 species
UACGGAGGAUGCAAGCGUUAUCCGGAAUGAUUGGGCGUAAAGCGUCCGCAGGUGGCAAUGUAAGUCUGCUGUCAAAGCGUCUGGCUCAACCAGAUACAGGCAGUGGAAACUACAUAGCUAGAGUAAGGUAGGGGUAGAGGGAAUUCCUGGUGUAGCGGUGAAAUGCGUAGAGAUUGGGAAGAACACCGGUGGCGAAAGCGCUCUGCUGGGCCAUAACUGACACUCAGGGACGAAAGCUAGGGGAGCGAAUGGG